ensembl:lincRNA
AUGGGCUUGAGAAGGAUACUGGUCCCCACCUACUCACUAAGACACAGGACCUCAAUCGUCCUUCAACAACAUCUGGAGCUGGGGCUGGAAGAAAUCCCUUGGGCCCUCCAAGCUUACUGCCCAGGAAAGAAGAGCCACAGUUUCUUCCGUGGGUGGCUGGAUCAGCCAACGCUGUCCCUCACUCUGUCCGUAAUGGUCAGUCAGCCAAGGAAAGAGUGUCUAGUUUGGCCUACUCAUCUGCACCAAAAAAAAAAAAAAAAAAAAUCAAAGAAGUUUUAUUCAACCAGAGCUAACACUAUCAGCAAGUUUCAUUCCAAAGUCAAUAUGGUGCAUGACAAUAGGAAUCACAACAAGCAAUGUCAAGGGAAAGUGAGACACAAGGGGAGAGAGUUGCUUUCAGUAAGUCCUUUAUCCUCCUCUCCCGAAAAUACCCAUUUCAGCGUGAAUUUUGGACUUCCAGAGUUUUAUUUUGCUGACAAAUGUGGCUUUUAUGUACUAUCUUCCCUUGUAAAUUCUGCACACUGUUGCAUUUUUUCACAAGUGGGAAAGUCCACUUUGUCACUGGAUAAAGAUGAAUUUACUACUUUAAUAAUUUGCAAAGAGCACAAAAGUAUCAAGAGCAUCUUGUAGUCAUAAGAGGAAGUGGAGAAUGUGAUCCGUUAGUAUGCAUUUUGUGUAAUGACUUGAGAGUAUAUUCUAUAUUAAAAUCCACCAUGUUUAAAUUUCAUUUUAUCUACAUUCUACUCUCAAACUUCCACACCAUGUUCUUUGGAAUAUAUUUAAUGUCUAAGAUCUGCAAGUUCUCACCUACACAAACUGCAGCCAGCAAGUUCUUUGUUAAACUACAGCUUUAAGGUACCACUCAAAAAACAGAAAGGGGAACUGUUUUCUUUAUGUUCUGCAGGGAGCUAAAGACAGAUGGAAAUAGAUAAUUUCCAUGGACACCCUUGCAAUCACCAUGAUUAAUUUUAUUGGCCAGAUUCCUCAGAUUUGAAAGCCUUGAAAGAGGGGUGUUGAAACUGUCACAGUAACAUCUAAUUAAGAAGGAAAUAGAGCCUUAAAAGAAAUACUGACUCUCCUUUUCAUCAAAGGAUAGUAAGUUAUAUAAAGAAGGCACCAAAUCCUCAGUAGGUAACCCAGCCUUUCUGAUACCUUCUUGACCUCUUCCCCAAUGGUCAGCAGCACACAUAGCUACACAUGUACACCCACAUGCACAAAUGCAUGCCCCAAAUUAAGCCAAUCCUUUUCAACUAGAAUGUUUCAUCUAGCCUUCCUGGUAAUGACUGAUAGAUAAGAUACCUAGAUAGAUACUUGCAACCUCAGGUAGGUGAAGCUAAAAGAUUGAUAUGAUUUUAUCAUUUUACCCAAGUCCAUAUUUUAAGUUCACAUUUAAACAAAUAAACACAUACAUACUACACAUAUGUAUAUAGAGAGGAAAUUCUCACACACACGUCCCUAGAUGAUAGUCAGAAUGUCUGGACUAUGGCCAGGAGACUAAGCGUAAAGAUCACGAUGUUUCAACACUAUUAUAUCUGUUACCACAAAAGUCAGACACAAAUAAUUACAUUUUCUAGAGAGUGAAAAUACAAUGAAUCCUUAUGAUUUUUGCUCUUGUUGUUACCUUCAUAAACAAAAUUAAAGAUUUUUUAAAAAAAUAAAAAACUAAAAAAAGAUUUAUAAAUAGUCUAUUUAUUAAAACUGUGUUUAUAUAUUACAGAUGAGAAAAAAGUUAUCUCUGUACUGAAGUAGUUGAGUAAACGCUGAUUUUUCAUGGAAGGGUAGUUUAUGUAUUCUUUGAUAAAUUUUGAAUUAAUAAAAAUUCAAAUAGUAAGAGAAUUGAAACAUAGCAGUGAUAGUAGUGUUUAGGAUAAAAUUAUCACAUCGAUAAAAAAUUUUGUAUAUCUUCUCUUUUUUAAAAAAAAUUGGGCCUGGGUAUAUUUGUUGUUAAUUUAAAAUGACUCUUAUCUCAGGGACAAAAUUGCAGGAAAAUUUGGCUUUGCCUUAGAGAAAAUAGAACAUACGUAUGUAUUGAUGCAAAUAAGAAUAAUACAUGUUUUGUAGAAAAUUAUUUUCCUUCAUGAAGACUGUUCUCUACUCCUGGGAAAUAAUCCUGUCUUGACUUAGUUUGUAUUUGUUUCAUUAGGGUGUAAUGCAAAAUGUACCAUAAUGUUAUCUCUUUCAGUAUAACGCAAAGGGGAACAUAAACCGCAAUUCUUUUGGUGUAAGAAAUGCUUGGAAAUUAAGUCAUGGCUUCUAACCUUCUGAGUCAUGUUCUUUAUUUGAAAGAACUGUAUUUGAGCACUAAAUAAUAAGAAAGAAAUAAUCAACUACAUGGUUGAUUAUUACUGUAUUUACAUCAGUUACACCUGAACAAAAGUCAAAUUCAGAGCCUCUCUUCUGUAUUUCAAGCUGCUUUAGAGGCUUUGGUUCUUAUACUCCAGCAGGUAUUUGAUCACCUGGGCUUCAUCCCAGAAUUGUGAUUUUACUUAGGCCUGGGUGUGGCCUAAGAACCUGCACAUCUACCUCUCAGGGGAUGGAGCUGUUGCUAGGCCAGGGACCUGACUUUGAGGGCCACCAAUAAAAUGCAACCUCAUUAAAACAGUCAGGUUUUACCUUUUAGGCAGAUGUAUUUGAGUCAUUGCAUUUCUAUGUAUUUCAGUAAUAGCUACAGCUUGCAAAAUAUAAAAUCUAUUAUAUUCAAUAAAAAGUAAUGAAAUGUGCUUUAUUUCUUUUUCUUUAUUGCAAGCACAGUGUACAUUUGUUAGUUCAGCAAUCUAAGAAGCCAGUAGGAAGUGCUUUCAGAGUCAAAACUUGACCUUACAUCCUUUAUUGAAGGAUUACACGUAAAAACCAGCUGUCAAUAAAUAGUUGCCUUGGUUUUUGCCAUUCCUACAGUACUUUGAUUUAGGUCAUACCUGAAUGGUCUAGCGGUUUUCCCUACUUUCUUCAAUUUCAGUCUGAAUUUGGUAAUAGGGAGUUCAUGAUCUGAGCCACAGUCAGCUCCUGGUCUUGUUUUUGUUGACUGUAUAGAGCUUCUCCCUCUUUGGCUGCAUAGAAUAUAAUCAAUCUGAUUUUGGUGUUGACCAUCUGGUGAUGUCCAUGUGUAGAGUCUUCUCUUGUGUUGUUGGAAGAGGGUGUUUGCUAUGACCAGUACAUUUUCUUGGCAAAACUCUAUUAGUCUUUGCCCUGCUUCAUUCCACAUUCCAAGGCCAAAUUUGCCUGUUACUCCAGGUGUUUCUCGACUUCCUACUUUGGCAUUCCAGUCCCCUAUAAUGAAAAAGGACAUCUUUUUUGGGUGUUAGUUCUAAAAGGUCUUGUAGGUCUUCAUAAAACCGUUCAACUUCAGCUUCUUCAGCGCUACUGGUUGAGGCAUAGACUUGGAUAACUGUGAUAUUGAAUGGUUUGCCUUGGAGACGAACAGACAUCAUUCUGUCGUUUUUGAGAUUGCAUCCAAGUACUGCAUUUCAGACUCUCUUGUCGACCAUGAUGGCGACUCCAUUUCUUCUAAGGUAUUCCUGCCCGCAGUAGUAGAUAUAAUGGUCAUCUGAGUUAAAUUCACCCAUUCCAGUCCAUCAUCUUAGUUCGCUGAUUCCUAGAAUGUUG